AUGCAAGUCGAGCGGUAAGGCCCUUCGGGGUACACGAGCGGCGAACGGGUGAGUAACACGUGGGUGAUCUGCCUCGCACUCUGGGAUAAGCCUGGGAAACUGGGUCUAAUACCGGAUAUGAGCAUGGUCUGCAUGGACUGUGUUGGAAAGGUUUACUGGUGCGAGAUGGGCCCGCGGCCUAUCAGCUUGUUGGUGGGGUAACGGCCUACCAAGGCGACGACGGGUAGCCGGCCUGAGAGGGCGACCGGCCACACUGGGACUGAGACACGGCCCAGACUCCUACGGGAGGCAGCAGUGGGGAAUAUUGCACAAUGGGCGAAAGCCUGAUGCAGCGACGCCGCGUGAGGGAUGACGGCCUUCGGGUUGUAAACCUCUUUCGACAGGGACGAAGCGCAAGUGACGGUACCUGUAGAAGAAGCACCGGCCAACUACGUGCCAGCAGCCGCGGUAAUACGUAGGGUGCGAGCGUUGUCCGGAAUUACUGGGCGUAAAGAGCUUGUAGGCGGUCUGUCGCGUCGAUUGUGAAAACUCACAGCUCAACUGUGAGCCUGCAGUCGAUACGGGCAGACUAGAGUACUUCAGGGGAGACUGGAAUUCCUGGUGUAGCGGUGAAAUGCGCAGAUAUCAGGAGGAACACCGGUGGCGAAGGCGGGUCUCUGGGAAGUAACUGACGCUGAGAAGCGAAAGCGUGGGUAGCGAACAGGAUUAGAUACCCUGGUAGUCCACGCCGUAAACGGUGGGUACUAGGUGUGGGUUUCCUUCCACGGGAUCCGUGCCGUAGCUAACGCAUUAAGUACCCCGCCUGGGGAGUACGGCCGCAAGGCUAAAACUCAAAGGAAUUGACGGGGGCCCGCCCAAGCGGCGGAGCAUGUGGAUUAAUUCGAUGCCACCGCGAAGAAACCUUACCCGGGGCCUGAC
rnacentral:rRNA from 1 species